rnacentral:rRNA from 1 species
UACGGAGGGGGCGAGCGUUGUUCGGAAUCACUGGGCUUAAAGCGUACGUAGGCGGAUAGGAAAGUCAGGAGUGAAAUCCCGGGGCUUAACCCCGGAACUGCUUUUGAAACUUCCUGUCUCGAGUCCCGGAGAGGUUGGCGGAAUUCCGAGUGUAGAGGUGAAAUUCGCAGAUAUUCGGAGGAACACCAGUGGCGAAGGCGGCCAACUGGACGGGUACUGACGCUGAGGUACGAAAGCGUGGGGAUCAAACAGG